rnacentral:rRNA from 1 species
UACGUAGGGUGCAAGCGUUGUCCGGAAUUAUUGGGCGUAAAGAGCUCGUAGGCGGUUUGUCGCGUCGUCCGGUGAAAACUUGGGGCUCAACCCCAAGCUUGCGGGCGAUACGGGCAGACUUGAGUACUGCAGGGGAGGACUGGAAUUCCCAGUGUAGCGGUGAAAUGCGUAGAUAUUGGGAGGAACACCAGUGGCGAAGGCGGCUCACUGGACCGGAACUGACGCUGAGGCGCGAAAGCGUGGGGAGCAAACGGGG